rnacentral:tRNA from 1 species
GCAUUGGUGCUUCAGUGGUAGAAUUCUUAUCUUCCACGCUGGAGACUCAGGUUUGAUUCCUGGCCAGUGCA